rnacentral:rRNA from 1 species
CCAGCUCUCCGAGUGGUAGGGAUGAUUAUUGGGCCUAAAGCGUCCGUAGCCGGCCUGACAAGUCUCUCGUUAAAUCCAGCAACCUAAUUGCUGGGCUGCGGGGGAUACUGUUAGGCUUGAGGGCGGAAGAGGCCGACGGUAUUCCCGGGGUAGGGGUGAAAUCUUAUAAUCCCGGGAGGACCACCAGUGGCGAAGG